GACGAACGCUGGCGGCGUGCUUAACACAUGCAAGUCGAGCGAAAAUACCAAGCUUGCUUGGUUGAUUAGUGGCGAACGGGUGAGUAACACGUGAGUAACCUGCCCCUUACUUUCCUGGAUAACUGCUCGAAAGGGUAGCUAAUACGGGAUAUUCUGACCAUCCUGCAUGGGUUGGUUUGGAAAGGUUGUUUUUCUGGUAAGGGAUGGGCUCGCGGCCUAUCAGCUUGUUGGUGGGGUGAUGGCCUACCAAGGCUUUGACGGGUAGCCGGCCUGAGAGGGUGGACGGUCACACUGGGACUGAGAUACGGCCCAGACUCCUACGGGAGGCAGCAGUGGGGAAUAUUGCACAAUGGGCGCAAGCCUGAUGCAGCGACGCCGCGUGAGGGAUGAAGGCCUUCGGGUUGUAAACCUCUUUCGUCAGGGAACAAGGCAUUGCCUUUUUUGGUGGUGUUGAGGGUACCUGGAUAAGAAGCGCCGGCUAACUACGUGCCAGCAGCCGCGGUAAUACGUAGGGCGCAAGCGUUGUCCGGAAUUAUUGGGCGUAAAGAGCUCGUAGGCGGCUGGUCGCGUCUGUCGUGAAAACUUCCGGCUCAACCGGGGGCUUGCGGUGGGUACGGGCCGGCUAGAGUGCGGUAGGGGUAACUGGAACUCCUGGUGUAGCGGUGGAAUGCGCAGAUAUCAGGAAGAACACCGAUGGCGAAGGCAGGUUACUGGGCCGUUACUGACGCUGAGGAGCGAAAGCGUGGGGAGCGAACAGG
rnacentral:rRNA from 1 species